rnacentral:piRNA from 1 species
UGUGUGGAAUGCCAGGAAGCCUCCCUCC